rnacentral:tmRNA from 1 species
AGUGCGGUCUAUAUCGGGUCUGCUCGCUUCGGCGGGCUAUGGCGAUAAAUUGCGCCGUGCAAUAGGUACAGCGGACCCGGGGGCAGUACCCGGCGGCUCCACCAAAAUUGGCGAUCUGUCGCCAGUCCUGAUGGGGCCGAACCAGGAUCGACGUGUGCUGAAAGACGGUGUUUUUGCUCGGGCUGAGUAACCCGUAAAACUGUUCAAAACACACAAGUGCCAACGAUAACGAAGCACUCGCAAUCGCUGCGUAAUUUGAUGUCCUAACGGACUGAAUUUACAAAGCUAAAGCGCGGUUGGACCGACCGGGCAACAGAAC